rnacentral:rRNA from 1 species
GACGGAGGGUGCAAACGUUGUUCGGAAUUACUGGGCGUAAAGCGCGUGUAGGCUGCUCUGCAAGUCGGAUGUGAAAGCCCUGGGCUCAACCUAGGAAGUGCACUCGAAACUGCAGAGCUUGAGUCCUGGAGAGGAAGGCGGAAUUCUCGGUGUAGAGGUGAAAUUCGUAGAUAUCGAGAGGAACACCGGUGGCGAAGGCGGCCUUCUGGACAGUGACUGACGCUGAGACGCGAAAGCGUGGGGAGCAAACAGG